GACGAACGCUGGCGGCGUGCUUAACACAUGCAAGUCGAACGGAAAGGCCCUGCUUUUGUGGGGUGCUCGAGUGGCGAACGGGUGAGUAACACGUGAGUAACCUGCCCUUGACUUUGGGAUAACUUCAGGAAACUGGGGCUAAUACCGGAUAGGAGCUCCUGCUGCAUGGUGGGGGUUGGAAAGUUUCGGCGGUUGGGGAUGGACUCGCGGCUUAUCAGCUUGUUGGUGGGGUAGUGGCUUACCAAGGCUUUGACGGGUAGCCGGCCUGAGAGGGUGACCGGCAAAGUGGGGACGGAGAGACGCCCGAGCCGCCACGGGGGGGCAAAGGGGGGAAUUAUCGAAAAGGGGGCGAAGGCUGGACGAAGAAACGCCGGGUGGGGGAGGCGGGCUUUCGGGUUGAAACCCGCUUGCGCGGGGGACGAGGGGUGGGUGAAGGUAAUGGGAAAAGAAGCACGGCCUAACUAGGU
rnacentral:rRNA from 1 species